GAGAAGCAGAAGUCAGGGCUGGCAGCGGAGUAACAAAGUCGGUAAAUCAGGCAGAGGUCAGAGUCAGGGAAAUCAGUCAGUAGUGUAGCAAAGAUCCGUCAGGAAACACCAAACAGGCAAAAUGACCAGAUCCUAGGUUUCAGGCAGGGCUGGCUUUUACAGCCGGCUAAUUAGAUGCAGAUGGCCCUAAUUGGAAAAGGGCUGCAGGUGGGUCAGCACUGCUUAAUCCAGGCAAGGGGGUCAGGAAGCAG